GCAGGCCUGUAGAGGAUUGUUCUUCACUCAUUCUCAACCUUGGCACCCCCUUUACAGAUUCAAACAGUUAUUGAAGGAAUGCCUUCCAAGUGCUAGGCACCUGUGGGCUGGACUGCCUAGAGAGGAGACAGGCACAGGCCGUAGUUGCCCAAGGGCGCUGCAGCUGUUGAGGAGUGGAGCAGACAAAAAUACCAUUUGAUGAUAACCAUGCUUCUGGUGCUCCUACUAGGUACUGUGGGUGGGACACAAGUCAGCUGCAGAUCUUGCCCUUGAGGAAUCUGCAGUCUAUUCACUCAGACAAAGUAACUCCCAAUCACUGCGCUACAAGAUGAAAAGUGGCCCAGAUAAAAGUUCCUCCUAGUUCCUUGCUCAGUCAGGUCUUCCUCUGCAAGGAAGAAAUGACUUAAAACAUUUUUCCUUGGCCCAGGCAGCCAGCCCUGGAAACUGGGCGAGGCAGACAGGCCACCUGAGGGCCACAGGCCCCACUGGGCACGGGUGUGAGAUGAUGGCGUGCUGCUUGAAGGAAUGCCCCGAGACUGAAGGGAGCAGCUGGGAGGCGCCGCCGGCGGGCUGCGGCGGGGGCGCGGCAGUCCGAGGAGCCCGGCCUCUGACGGAGUGAAGUCUGUGGGGAGGCCUACGGAGUCGAGGCUCCGUAAGGCCUUUUGGAGUGGAGCGGCCCAGACGGCGAGUGCGAAGACAGAAUCCGCAGGCGACAGACGCUGUGGAGACGCCUCACGGGGCCUCGCAGGGGCCCGAGCUGUGUUCGGGUCGAUUCUCGGUCAAGAGAGCGAAUAUCUGGAGAGGCUCGGUGGAGAAAGGCUUUCUGAGGACGGUGAGGGACAGGAUUUGGCUCUGCGGGCUGGCAAGCCUGAGAAACCACGGGGCUCUGAGGAGAUCUGGCCAUGAGGAUGGGGCCCGAGGGCGCAUUCUGCGACCGGUCCGCGGGACGCGGAGAUUGGACACCCUGGCGUGCGGAGCGCAGACAUCCACAGAGCAAAGGCGGAAAGCGGGCAGCGAGCCCAGCGCGCGCCAACCGCUGCGGCGCCUCGGAGAGGCCCGCCCACCCGCCACCACACCCUGUUCUCAUUGGCACCUCUUCGCGGAUUGGCUACCUUCGGAUCCAAUAAACCAGGCCUGAGGCCUACUUCCUGGGAGAGUGAGGUCAGCCUCCUGAGAAGCCGGAAGAGUGCGUUUGCGCGCGCUUCCCAAUGUGUCGCGGCUGCCUGGAGGACCUUGGUGCGCGCCAGGAGGCGGGUGCCCGAGAGGAUACCAUGGGGCAUCGAACUCUAGCUUCUUUCCCGGCACUGUGGGCUUCCAUCCCCUGUCCACGCUCCGAGCUGCGCCUGGACCUAGUUCUGGCUUCUGGACAGUCUUUCCGGUGGAGGGAACAAAACCCGGCGCAUUGGACUGGCGUGCUGGCGAACCAGGUAUGGACACUGACUCAGACUGAGGAGCAGCUCUACUGUACUGUGUACCGAGGCGACAAGGGAUGGGUUGGCAGGCCCACACCAGAAGAGCUAAAGACUGUGUAUGAGUACUUCCAGCUGGAUGUCAGCCUGGCUCAACUUUAUCACCACUGGAGUUCCGUGGACCCCCACUUUCAAGAGGUGGCUCAGAAAUUCCAAGGUGUGCGACUCCUGCAACAGGAUCCCAUCGAGUGCCUUUUCUCCUUCAUCUGUUCCUCCAACAACAACAUUGCUCGCAUAACUGGCAUGGUAGAACGACUCUGCGAGGCCUUUGGACCUCGGCUCAUCCAGCUUGAUGAUGUCACCUACUAUGGCUUCCCUAGCCUGCAGGCCCUGGCUGGGCCAGAGGUAGAGGUGCAGCUCAGAACGCUGGGCCUGGGAUACCGUGCCCGCUAUGUGAGUGCCAGUGCCCGAGCCAUCCUAGAAGAACAGGGCGGGCUGCCCUGGCUGCAGCAGCUGCGUAAGGUCCCCUACGAGGAGACCCACAAGGCCCUCUGCACCUUGCCCGGGGUGGGCACCAAGGUGGCUGACUGCAUCUGCUUGAUGGCCCUAGACAAGCCCCAGGCCGUGCCUAUAGAUGUCCACAUGUGGCAGAUCGCCCAGCGUGACUAUAGCUGGCACCCCACCACAUCUCAGGCCAAGGGUCCAAGCCCCCAGGCUAACAAGGAACUGGGAAACUUUUUCCGGAGCCUGUGGGGACCUUAUGCUGGCUGGGCCCAAGCAGAACCCAGAGCUGCCACCAAGAGCAGUGUCUGUUCCAUACACUGUUGGCCAGAAGUGAAAAGAUGGGCCAGACUGGGCUAUGGCAAGUCUGCCACGGAGCUAGAACUCUAGGAAACAGGAAGCAGUGAUCAAUUGACCAGAGGAAAUACCACCCUGGAUUCAGCUUCCCCAGCCAGCCAGUCCCAAGAGUAAUAGAAUCCCAACUAAAGCCAGCUUCAUCAAAGAGGUAACUGUGACUCCAACAGCUGAUUGCAAGACUGAAGGAAGAACACCGUGGAUCAGGAUCUUGGCAUAGGAUUUGCUUUCUUGCAUCUCUCCUUGUCUCGAUUUCUCUGCACGUUGGCUUCCCUUCCACUGCCUAGUGAUCACUCUGCCUGGCAAAAAACAUGGUGUGAGGCAGACCCAGCUUUCCAAAUGAACCCAGCAGGAGAGCUAUACCCAGUUUCAUGUAUCAGUCUCAGGGAAGGACUCUGAUGAGUUGUGCUAGAGUAAGAUGCCUACCACUUGGCCCCAAAUAAACUAUUGCCAAGGAAA